AGAAAAAUCAGUUGGUUUGAUUGAAAAAUCUCAAAAUAAGGAAAUAGCAACAGGUAUCUUUUAAUAGCCACAGAAAAAUAGUGGCAAUGGAUCAAACCCAGGACAUAUUAAGCAUAUUAGGCAAACUAUGUACCACUGAAUUGUUUUGUAGUACCUAGUUAAUGUAUUUGAUGAGGAAUAUUGAUGGAUCAUUUUUAUGUAAAAUAAAAACACUGAGAUACUGCUUCGAGUCAUAUAUUACUCUGUUUGUAUUGUUUUAUUAUUAAAGAAAGGAUAUUGACCACUAGCAUUUUAUCUCUGUAAACUCAGUGAAGAAUAGUAGCUUUUAUUUGCUUAAUUAUACUGUUAAAUUCUCAUUUUAGUCAAACUCCGCGAAGUCCCCACAUACUUUAUCGCCGUGAUUUAAUCAACCACCUUCAGCACAAUCAUGCCUUAGUUGCUUUGGUAGCAGAAAACCUUGCAAUUUAUAUGGAUAGCAUGAGAUUAUAUGUUAGAGAUCAUAAAGACUAUGACCCACAAUCUCUGAGAAUUGGAAGUAGAUAUAGUCAUAUUCAAGAAGUCCAAGAACGACUUAACUUCCUUAGAUUUUUAUUGAAGGAUGGUGAACUGUGCCUCUGUGCUCCCCAGGCGAAACAAAUAUGGAAGUGUUUAGCAGAGAAUGCAGUUUAUCUUAGUGAUCGUGAAGCUUGUUUUAAGUGGUACUCCAAGCUAAUGGGGGACGGAUCAGAUUUAGAUCCUGAUAUUAUUAAGGACUUUUUUGAAAGUAAUGUCCUUCAACUUGAUCCUCCCCUGUUGACUGAAAAUGGAAUAAAGUGUUUUGAAAGAUUCUUCAAAGCAGUUAAUUGUAAAGAACAGAAGUUAAUACCAAAAAGAAGAGCCUAUAUGAUGGAUGAUUUACAAUUGAUAGGAUUAGACUACCUUUGGAGGGUUGUUAUUCAGAGUAAUGAUGAUGUAGCCUGCAGAGCUAUAGAUCUUCUUAAAGAAAUAUACACAAAUCUUGGCCCCAGGUUGCAGACCAGUCAGGUAAGGCUUGAAGUAAACAAACACCUCUGGUUCUAAUAGAGUAAGAUAGAAUUAUCUAAAAUCAAUUUUUAAAAAUCUAACCAGGGCUGGGGAUGUAGCUCAGCGGUUCUGCCACGUGCCUUGCAAGCUCAAGGGCCCAAGUUUGAUCCCUAGUAACCCCCAGCCUCCCAAAAAAACCUAACCAGAUAUAUUUCUUAAGUAUUUAAUCCACAUAUGUCCCUUACAUAGUCCC
rnacentral:lncRNA from 1 species